rnacentral:lncRNA from 1 species
UUCUAUUUUCUUGUACAGCACACUGUCCAGUAGAAAUAUAAUGCAAGAACACAUGUGACUUAAUGUUUGUAGUAGCCACUUAGAAAAGUAAAAAGAAAUAUGUGCAAUGAGUUUUAAUAAUAUAUUUAAUUCAAUACGUCCAAAGUAGUGUCAUUUGAACAUGUUAUCAACAUAAACAUGAAUGAAAUAUUUCACCUUCUAUUUUUGUACUAAGUUUUCGAAAUCUGUUCUUUUAUAUUGAUAGCACUUCUUAAUUCAGACACGAAAUUUUCAUAAGAAGUACAUGAUUUGUAUUUAGGUUUCAUAAAAUUUACAAUUCAAAAAGUAGAUUCACAUACGCGAAUCGUUUCAAACAUACCUCUGGGCCCAGCGCCUCGCCCUGUCCUCGCCGGGUGAAGUCGGCCCUGACUGCAGCCUGCGAAGCACCCGCCCAUUGUCCCCGGAGAGGGCGCCCUGGACGCAAGCGCAGAGCCCCGGGAGGCGCGGGAAGCCGGAGGAGGGCGAUGGGGGCGAGGCAGGAAGAGUACGUGGGGCCGAGGGGGGCGAGCGCUGGGCCGCCCGCAGCCGGAGAGUGUCGCCCCUCCUGAAGGCCCUGGGCAGGUGAAAUGAGGACCAGCGCUGACAAAGGGCAGGAUGCAGAAGACUCCUGACUUUGGAUCUCAGAUCACCCUCGGAAGCUCCGAUUCGGAUCCGCGUCCACAGACCCGGCGACCUCAGACAGACCGGGCGUCCGGGGAAGAGGCGGCGGCAGUGAGCACCGCAGUGAGGAAACCAGGCUCCGGCGAUCCCCAGGCCUUACGCCCGACCCCAGGGCAUUUGGGAGCAGGUCUGCGUCCGGGACCAGCACACUCUGGACGGGAGCUCUGCCUUUCUGGGGUCCUCCAGCUGAAGGAUGUGAGUUGCAAGAAACCCAUUCUGUAGACCUCGAAAUCAGCGGGGAGCCCCAGGCACUUGUGGGGGGACUUUGAUGUGGCUCCCACGCAUCCACCCGGCACCGCGUGGAUUGCCAGGGGCAGGACGAGCUUGAGUGGACGCUGGGUUCGCUGAGCCCCCCAGAGGCUCCUCGCCCUGGGUCACCUGUGCCGCCUUGGACCACCCAGAGAAACCUUUCCUCCCACCAGGUGAGCCGCAGGCCAGGCGCCAGGCCUGAGUGUGCCCGGGACGGGGAUUUCUCUGUGAACGGCCCAUCAUCCCAUAAUAUCCACGUUGUCUUAGCCUCAUGUUCUGAAGAAACACGAAUUUCAUACACAAGCGUGGAUUUUUGCAUGUUUUAAAUUGUAAAUGCGACUAACUCCAAGGAAGUUGGAACUUGAAGCAGGCUCAAAGCAAACUUAGUCGCGUCAUCCGCCACCAUCCUCCAGGGUAAACCGAGGAGCACAGUUAAUUGGUUUUCCACGGGUAUUUGCCACUUGUCAGAUGGGCUGUUAUGGACGUAACCACGUAAUUCCUGGAACCCAGUGAGAGUCAGCUUCCUUUACGGGCGUCUGACAAGAUGUGCUCAAACACCUUGAAGAUCUUUAUGGAAACAACUUUUGGCUCUUUAUCAAGAUGUCAUUCAGGGCUCUGAACAGUCGAAUACGUUGUGGAUGGGUUUGCUGUAGUUAUACAGUGUGCAUUUGAUACUUGUCAAUAGCGCUAGUAAUGUUAUUGCAAAAAUAAAACCUUCUUUAAAAAAGAGGCCGGGCGCGGUGGCUCACGCCUGUAAUCCCAGCACUUUGGGGAGGCUCAGGCAGGUGGAUCACGAGGUCAGGAGAUGGAGACCAUCCUGGCUAACAUGGCGAAACCCCGUCUCUAGUAAAAAUACAAAAAAUUAGCCGGGUGUGGUGGCGGGCGCCUGUAGUCCCAGCUACUCGGGAGGCUGAGGCAGGAGAAUGGCGUGAACCUGAGAAGCGGAGCUUGCAGUGAGCCGAGAUGGCACCACUGCACUCCAGCCUGGGCGACAGAGCGAGACUCUGUCUCAAAAAAAAAAAAAAAAGAGAAAAAAGAAAGAAAGAAAAGUGGCCCGGCACAAUGGCUCACGCCUGUAAUCCCAGCACUUUGGGAGGCCGAGGCUGGCGGAUCGCGAGGUCAGGAGUUCGAGACCAGGCUGGCCAGCAUGGUGAAACCCUGUCUCUACUAAAAAUACAAAAAUUAGCCGGGCAUGGUGGCCCGCGCCCAGGCAGGCUGUUCUGGGAGAGAAAACUUGGCUCUCCAAUGCGGUGUGGCCAUUUGGCUAUGACAUCACACUGCAUAGUUUAAUGAGUGAAAUCAGACCUCUUCUUGUUAUUGGAGAUGACUGGAGGAUUUUUUUUUUAUUUUCCUGAAUGUAAGUAGGUAAGCCAUGAAGAUCCCAGAUUUCAUUCAGGGACUCAGAACCAGCAGCAAGGAGCAGGCUGCGUGGAGAAAACAGAGUUGGCUCUGGAGUACCCCAUGAGUCCAGCUUGUUCAAAGUAAAAGUGGCAAUGGCUUUGGGAUCACAAAACAGCCCUUGAACAUCAAAGUCAAUUAGUAGAAACCCCUAAAUAUCAUGGGGCAAAAAAUAUUUCAAAUUUACUUAAAUAUUCGGUUUAUCAGAUGGGACUCACUUUUUUUUUCUUUUUUUUUUUUAAACAGAUUCUCACUCUGUUGCCCAGGCUGGAGUGCAGUGGCGCCAUCUUGGCUCACUGCACCCUCUGCCUCCCGGUUCAAGCAAUUUUCCUGUCUCAGCCUCCUGAGUAGCUGGGACUACAGGCACGAGCCACCACGCCCGGCUAUUUCUUAUAUUUUUAGUAGAAAUGGAGUUUCACCAUGUUGGCCAGGCUGGUCUCAAACUCCUGACCUCAAGUGAUCUGCCAGCCUGGACCUCCCGAAGUGCUGGGAUUGCAGGCGUGAGCCACGGUGCCCUGCCGGGACUCAAUUUUUAACACCUAUUUUUAACACUAGCUUUUGUGCUAGUAAAUUAAAUUAAUUCUUUUAAAAAAACCCAAUUGUGUGUACUUUAACAAGUAAAACUAAGUUGGUUAUAAUGUGACAAAAAUACAAGCAAUAAUAAUAGCAAAAUUAUCCAAUAGGAACCAUGCAGAGAGUUUUAUAUUAUAACUCAUGUCCCCUUUCCUGCAAUGUUAUUAACUUCUAUCCCCAUUUUCCACAUCAAGGAAAUUAAGUUUGGAGACACAGAGUGACUUACCUAAGUCACAGGUCUGGUAGGUGGAGAGUUUCUCUCACUCCAGGGACCACAAUCUACAAAAUAAACUUGCAUAUUCUACAAAAUAUUUGUUACCAUUGGAAGUAGGUAGGCAGAGUGUUACUAGCAUCAAAUUAUGGCAGGAAUAAAAAGAAAGGGUGGUGGGCUGGUCUUGCUUCUGCAGUUUAAGGGGGAUCCCUGCGCCGAGAUGUCUGGCUAAGUGGUCGUUGUAACAAGUGGCAGAGAUGGUGAAAACAUCAGGGAGCAGGUGGUGGCUGUUCCAGUUUCUUAUCUCAGGAGGGAAGAGCUGCAGAUGUCUUUACUGUGAAUGAGGGAGAGAAACGCUAAAGCACAGAAAUGUUCAGAACCAAAGAGCUGGAUCACUCAUGCUUCUAGAAAAGACAUUGGCAUCUUCUCAUUGCUCAUCUACUGUGCCUGGCACAGCCUUAUUUUCUAGCUUUCUGAAUGUGAGUUCCAUCCAUAUCCUUUGCAUAACGGUGGUACUGGGCUGUGGAGAGCUUGGAAUGUGUGUCCAUGGGGAAAUGGGCUGUUCUGGUUAUUAUAAAACGGCCAAGGGAGGGCUCCAUGGCACACCUCUGAGUAACCCAGGACACUCCUGUUUGGGAAAUGCAAACCAUCCAUACGGCAGGGGCACAAUUAUAAAGAUUGAUCCUGUCACGGGAAUGGUUUCAAAUCUGACCAACCUCAUGGCAUACAUUGGGGAAGCAAUUGUGAAACCCCUUGAUUCUUUGGAUCUGGACAUGCUGUACUGUGACAAUGGUUUGUGUGUGACAGAAAAUGUAGCUGUGUCUACCGGGAAAGACUGGGGAAAUUUCUUCCUGUGGAGUUCUUUAUAAAGCAAAAGUGCAUGAAACUGUCAGUAAUAUUGUAGUCUAUAAAGGGAAAUUGCUCUUAGAGGCUAAUAUUGCACAAUGACUACUUUUUUUGCUUAUUUGGAAAAGAUCUUUAUCUCUUGGAGUAUUAAGAAGUCAACAUAUAAUUGCCACCCUAUACAUUGUGUUCUGGAGUGCCUGAUUUAUUGAAAUCAGUGUGAAACCUAUUUUAAAUAAAUAUCUAUUUCAAAACCAAGGCCAGACAUGGUGGCUCAUGCCUGUAAUCCCACACUCUGGGAGGCUGAGGUGGGAGGAUCACUUGAGGCCAGGAGUU